rnacentral:rRNA from 1 species
AACCCCUCUACUUAGUGCCCCGGAGAUAGUUUCGCAAUGCCCGAAAGGGUGACGAAGCGACGCCGCGUGUGGGAAGAAGGCCUUCGGGUUGUAAACCACUGUCGGGAGUUAGGAAAUGCAGGUGCGUUAAUAGCGCACUUGCUUGACUAAGGCUCCAGAGGAAGCCACGGCUAACUCUGUGCCAGCAGCCGCGGUAAUACAGAGGCGGCAAGCGUUGUUCGGAAUUAUUGGGCGUAAAGAGCACGUAGGCGGCCUUGCAAGUCAGUUGUGAAAGCCUUCCGCUUAACGGAAGAACGGCAUCUGAUACUACAGGGCUUGAGUACGGGAGGGGAGAGUGGAACUUCUGGUGGAGCGUGAAAUGCGUAGAUAUCAGAAGGAACGCCGGCGGCGAAAGCGACUCUCUGGUCCGAAACUGACGCUGAGUGUGCGAAAGCUAGGGGAGCAAACGGGAUUAGAUACCCCGGUAGUCCUAGCCGUAAACGAUGGGCACUAAGUAGAGGGGUU